GAUGACUAAAUCAGAGAAGGACCACAUAAUCCAAGGAUAGGGACAAGGGAAGAGGAUGCUCUGCCAAACUGCCCCUGCUGCGUCAUAGUGGACCAGUUUCAAUGAUCCAGACUGUCAGUCACCCCAUCCAGCCUCAUCCUCAUCUGGACCCGUUUCUGACCACCCAAUCAGUUUCAAUGAUCCAAACUGUCAGUCACCCCAUCCAGCCUCAUCUGGACCAGUUUCUGACGACCCAAUCAGUUUCAAUGAUCCAGACUGUCAGUCACCCCAUCCAGCCUCAUCCUCAUCUGGACCCGUUUCUGACCAACCACCCAAUCAGUUUCAAUGAUCCAGACUGUCAGUCACCCCAUCCAGCCUCAGCCUCAUCCUCAUCUGGACCCAUUUCUGAAGACCUAAUCAGUUUCAAUGAUCCAGACUGUCAGUCACCCCAUCCAGCCUCAUCUGGACCAGUUUCCGACGACCCAAUCUGUUUCAAUGAUCUGGACACUGUCAGUCACCCCAUCCAGCCUCAUCCCAGCUCUUAACUCCUUCUGCAUAGUUCAGUUUCCUUUCUGGCAACUAAUUCCCAAUUUCCUAGAAAACCCUGAUUUUCUGAUUUAACACUGAUUCGAAUCCACUUUAAACCAAAGGAAACAGGCCGGGCGUGGUGGCUCACGCCUAUAAUCCCAGCACUCUGGGAGGCCGAGGCAGGUGGAUCACCUGAGGUCAGGAGUUCAAGACCAGCCUGGCCAACAUGGUGAAAUCCCAUCUCUACUAAAAAUACAAAAAAAAAAAAAAAAAAAAAAAAAUUAGCUGGGUGUAGUGGCACAUGCCUGUGAUCCCAGCUACUCGGG
rnacentral:lncRNA from 1 species